rnacentral:rRNA from 1 species
AACGCUAGCUACAGGCUUAACACAUGCAAGUCGAGGGGCAGCAUAAAAGUAGCAAUACUUUGGUGGCGACCGGCGCACGGGUGAGUAACGCGUAUGCAACCUACCUAUCAGAGGGGAAUAACCCGGCGAAAGUCGGACUAAUACCGCAUAAAACAGGGGCACCGCAUGGUGAUAUUUGUUAAAGAAAUUCGCUGAUAGAUGGGCAUGCGUUCCAUUAGGUAGUUGGUGAGGUAACGGCUCACCAAGCCGACGAUGGAUAGGGGAACUGAGAGGUUGGUCCCCCACACUGGUACUGAGACACGGACCAGACUCCUACGGGAGGCAGCAGUGAGGAAUAUUGGUCAAUGGGCGAGAGCCUGAACCAGCCAAGUCGCGUGAAGGAAGAAGGAUCUAUGGUUCGUAAACUUCUUUUGCAGGGGAAUAAAGUGCAGGACGUGUCCUGUUUUGUAUGUACCCUGAGAAUAAGGAUCGGCUAACUCCGUGCCAGCAGCCGCGGUAAUACGGAGGAUCCGAGCGUUAUCCGGAUUUAUUGGGUUUAAAGGGUGCGUAGGUGGUUUGAUAAGUCAGCGGUGAAAGUUUGCAGCUUAACUGUAAAAAUGCCGUUGAAACUGUCGGACUUGAGUGUAAAUGAGGUAGGCGGAAUGCGUGGUGUAGCGGUGAAAUGCAUAGAUAUCACGAAGAACUCCGAUUG